AUUGAACGCUGGCGGCAUGCCUUACACAUGCAAGUCGAACGGCAGCACGGGAGCAAUCCUGGUGGCGAGUGGCGAACGGGUGAGUAAAGUAUCGGAACGUGCCCAGUCGUGGGGGAUAACGUAGCGAAAGUUACGCUAAUACCGCAUACGAUCUAUGGAUGAAAGGGGGGGAUCGCAAGACCUCGCGCGAUUGGAGCGGCCGAUAUCAGAUUAGGUAGUUGGGGGGGUAAAGGCUCACCAAGCCGACGAUCUGUAGCUGGUCUGAGAGGACGACCAGCCACACUGGGACUGAGACACGGCCCAGACUCCUACGGGAGGCAGCAGUGGGGAAUUUUGGACAAUGGGCGAAAGCCUGAUCCAGCCAUGCCGCGUGCAGGAUGAAUGCCUUCGGGUUGUAAACUGCUUUUGUACGGAACGAAAAGGUUUGGCCUAAUAAGCUGAGCUCAUGACGGUACCGUAAGAAUAAGCACCGGCUAACUACGUGCCAGCCGCCGCAGUAA
rnacentral:rRNA from 1 species